rnacentral:rRNA from 1 species
CCUACGGGUGGCAGCAGUGAGGAAUAUUGCUCAAUGGGCGCGAGCCUGAACCAGCCAAGCAGCGUGAAGGAUGACUGCCCUACGGUUUGUAAAUUCUUUUUAUAAAGGAAUAAAGUGAGGCAUGUGUGCCUUUUUGUCUGUACUUUAUGAAUAAGGAUCGGCUAACUCUGCGCCAGCAGCCGCGGUAAUACGGAGGAUCCGAGCGUUAUCCGGAUUUAUUGGGUGUAAAGUGAGCGUAGGUGGGUUGUUAAGUCAGUUGUGAAAGUUUGCUGCUCAACCGUAAAAUUGCAUUUGAUACUGGCAGUCUUGAGUAUAGGUGAGGUAGGCGGAAGUCGUGGUGUAGCGGUGAAAUGCGUAGAUAUCAAGAGGAACACCGAUUGCGAAGGCGGCUUACUAGACUACCACUGACGUUGAUGCGCGAAAGUGUGGGGAGCAAACAGGAUUAGAUACCCCGGUAGUC